rnacentral:tRNA from 1 species
UCAAGGAAGAGGUAACUACCCCAUCACCAGCACCCAAAGCUGAUAUUCUACUUAAACUAUUCCCUG